rnacentral:lncRNA from 1 species
CAAGAAAUUCAGAACACUUUAAGUUUGGAAAUCUCCAGAACACCUAGAUAUAAUGGCAUAACUCCAUAUCUGUGGUUGUCAGACUAUCAUUUGUUCUGAUGAAAACCACACUCCAUGAGUGGUCAGCCAGUUUUAUCCCAGGAUGACCACACUUCAGAGGCCUCUACAUUAGAGAAAUAAAUCUGAGGUCAAAGAAGAUAAAUAGCUCGCCCAAUUCUAAUACAUGGAAAGAACUACAGCAAGCAGGUAAUUCCAAAUAUCUUGCUUUUUACAUCAUGUUCUUUUCUCUAAGUCAUGGUUCUGUAACUUGGGGUGUAGAAAAUAGAAAACAAGUUCCAAUUAACAACACAGCCAAAAGAGAAGUUUUUGAGGAAAAGCACACAUAAAUUUCUUAACCUCAAGUGCCAAAGACUGUCUCCUAUUUUUUAGGGAUCACAGUAAAAUCCUUUUUGUAUAAAUUCUAG